AGAAUAGAUCAGAGAGACUCCAGACCCAAGGAAGCGCUGUGAAGAAAACAGUGGAAUUUCACACAGGAUGGCCUCCAGGCUUCAGACCCAGCAUGGAGCCCAACACUGGGCUUGAACUCACAAUCCUGCGAUCAAGACCCUGCGACGAGAACUGAGCUGAGACCACGGGUCAGAAGCUUAACCAACUGGGCCACCCAGAUGCCCCAAUAUAUGAGGUUUUUAAAAAUAUGAAUGAAAGAAGCUUAUCGAUGAGGGCAUCAAAGGCAAGCUGAGGACAAAGCACAAGCUGACACGCCGCACACACCCCCACACACCAGGUGGGAUACCUGUGACAUUCUUCAGGCUCUCCUGGCUACCCAAGAACAAAGGAAAGGGAAAAACAAGUGGUUAACUGAUAGAGAUCACAGUCCUGCAGGAUGAGUCUCAAUCAGUCUGCAACUUAAUGAUUUACAAAAAACAAAAACAAAAACAAAAACAAAAACAAAAAAAACAAAACAGGCAAUCUCCAGAAACCUAUAGUCACAGUUUCCUGGAGCCCUAACAUCACCCUCCCGUCCAGUGAUGGGGGGAAAGAAGACAAGAAGAAAAUGUAAAUGAAAUUAAAUUCCU